UGAUAAUACAAAGACAAACGCGUCUCAGCCACUGCUCCUCAUAUCGCGUGGAUUACAUUAUGUUGUUGUCUUCGAAGAGUCCAUAUAACUUUCGAAGUUCUUCCGAUUCGCCUCGACAUAUUAGAAAAGUCGAACCGACUUUCCUUAUAUCUUCACCAUCAAAUUUCACUAAAAUAACUAUUUUGCCAUCCCUUUCACCUCCUAUAUAAGCCUCUCCUCCUUGCAAUCAUAGGUUUGCCGAAAUUUAUUCAGUGAAGUUCUUUUAAACAAUGGAGUCGUCAUCGUCCAGAAACAAAUUUCAUAAUUGUCAGCGAUCCGUUUCACCUUCGGGUAGGUUCUGUUCUUCCACUAUUUCUUCCUCCAGCUUCUCAACUCGAAGCUCCGAUUGGUUAACCCGAUCCACUUCCCCAACCCGGGUUAAUCUCCGUCGAUCAGUUUCUCCUUCGCCGUCGGUACGAUUUUCCAGCUCUCCCGGCCGUUCAAUUUCAUUUUUACCUCAUAAGACGCAGCAUAAUAGCCGGCCGUUACCUUCCAAUCAGAAGAAACACUGCACGUGUUCGCCGACGACACAUCCAGGUUCAUUCCGUUGUAGCCUUCACAAAAAUACAAACAAUCGGAGUCGCGGACAAUCCAAUUCGUCAUCGUAUCACUCGAGUCGUCAAUUGAAUAUGAGGAGAUCAGCUAUGACGAAUUCGCUCGUUCGGAUUGGAACUGUGGAAGGUGAAUUAGUGAAGAGAGCACUUGCUGCAUUGAUUCGGCCUUCUUCUCAUCAACUCAGGCGAAGCCUUACUGAAUCGAGCAAUGAAGGUAAUUAAUGAGUGGUGAAAAGAUCUACGCACGUAACGAAAGUGAUGGCAUCAUCAUGAGUUCUUAAUAGAAACAGUGUGUCCAACUCAAAUGCAAAAUUCUUACAAAGCGAUCACAUCACAGACAUACAAAUUCUUCUAAGAGAUAUUCUUAUAGCAGGACCAAUAGAGAAGGAGCGGGAACAGAAUUAUUCGAUGAAACAUUUUGAUGAGUUGCAUCACAAUAACCUCUCAAUAUAUGGUAAAACCUCUAUAAAUG